AUUGAACGCUGGCGGCAGGCCUAACACAUGCAAGUCGAGCGGACGAACGGAGCUCGCUCUUGGAUUCAGUUGGGGACGGGCGGGUGAGUACUAGGAAGAUGCCCGGCAGUUGGGGCUAACGUCAGGAAGCGGGCGCGAAUACCGUACACGUUCAUAGGGAGAAAGGGGGGGAUCAUCGGACCUCACGCUAUUAGCUGAGCCUAGGAUGGAUUAGCUAGUUGGUGGGGUAAAGGCAUACCAAGGCGACGAUCCGUAGCUGGUCUGAGAGGGUGAUCAGCCACACUGGAACUGAGACACGGUCCAGACUCCUACGGGAGGCAGCAGUGGGGAAUAUUGGGCAAUGGGCGAAAGCCUGAUGCAGCCAUGCCGCGUGUGUGAAGAAGGUCUUCGGAUUGUAAAGCACUUUUAGUUGGGAAGAAGAGCAGUAAGUUAAUACCUUGCUGUUUUGACGUUACCUAAAGAAUAAGCACCGGCUAACUUCGUG
rnacentral:rRNA from 1 species